UUCUGCUAGGUUGCCCUGAAACGAGAGUAUAUAUGCAGAUUUUGUCUCCCUAAAGAAGGGCUUUUAAGCUUCGCCUCCGCCUCUCUGGAAGCCAUUCAUUAUCCAGAACCUUUCUUCCUCGUCUGCAAAUCCAUUUCCUGUUUUGCUUAUUUAGCUAAGAAAUCCCAUCCCUCUCCCUUUUACCGAUCAGAAAAAAGAAAACAAACAAACUUUUCUCCAUCUUAUUCUCUAUGUCGAUUUCGUGCACCGACUCCUCGACUGAUUUAGACGAUGAAGACAGGGAGCGUAACGACUUUUGUCUCACAAAAUUUGGGAUUUGGUGGCAUCGGUAAUUAAAGAAACCCCAAAUCCUCUGAGAAAUCUAACACGACCGGCGGAGCAAGAUCGUUAAUCACUCCUUUCUCUCUCAGAACCCCAUAUCCUCUGAGAAAUCUAACACGACCGCCGUCACAUUCCUUGCUCCGCCGUCGGAAUGCCUCCGGCAGGUUUUAAUCAGGAGAAGCCGAAUGGCUCUGAAGUGUCAUCAUUGGUAUAGCCACAGCCGUCCGCCUUCUAUGGUAGCUGCUCAACCACAAGGUAAAAAUAAGUUGCCAAAGUGGACAUGAUUGUUUGUUUUCUUUUAUGUUCUUUUUCUCCAUAAUUAGGAGCACAAAAGUUUUUCACCCAUAAAUCCCUCCUUCCUCAUUUGUGGAGCAGGUUUUUCAUGCCAUGAACAUGUCACCAUUAAUAUUGCUUACCGUUGGGAGAAAUUUUAUUUGUGUUGGUGGGGUUGAUUCAAAGUUGACCGAUUUCUUGACCGGAGAUGUAACUAAUUUUAAUUAUAACAAGUUCUAUCAAAUAAGUCGUCGAAACAUAUAUAUUACAGGGAGCAUUUUUGUUCACCAUAAUGCUCACUGUACACCUAAUCAAUUGACAUGUGUCAUUUCACUUAAUCUUGGUUAAUUUUUUUUCAAAAUUGAAAAACUAACAUUUAAUGUGAAAGUUAAUUAGAGUUAAGUGAAAUGACACGUGUCAAUUGAUUAGUUAUACACUAUAGUUUAUGGUGAUGAGAAAAAUGCUCCCAUAUAUUACAAUGGCUAGAUGCAAGAAAGCAUUUGAGGAUAUGUGCCAAAUGAUAACAUGCGGUAACUAAAAACUCUCAAUUUUUUUUUUUUUUACUCAAAAUUAUAUAUAUUGAUUUUCAAUUGGAUGGUGAUAGUUUUCAACAAUACCUGAGGAGUCGCUCAGAGUGGAGUUAGCGGCUAAUCUAGCCUAUCAUUUGAUAGUUCCUAUGGCACAGUGGUGGCCUUGUUUUGGGAUGGGACAAUACAAGUCCACAUCCUCAAAUGUUUCGAGUGAUCGCAGGUGAAUCAUUUACGACGAGUGAUAAUGCUAUGGCUCUUGGUAUAGGAGGACAAUAUAUAAACCUACAGUAUCUGACAGAUUAUUAUCAUGGAGAAUUAGCACAAGUCUUCCAACAUACAAUGUUACUACUCAACCAAGCCUGCCUUUUAGAUCGUUUUUGUGGUGGAGUUGUUAGAGUGGUACUGCAGAGAGAUGAGCACUGCCACCAUCGUGCAUGGCUGAAGAAGCAGUCCUAAUGGUUAAUCGGUAGCUGGAUUGGCUUAGCAAGUAUUUUGGUAAACCAUGAAACUUGUGUUAGCUUGGAAACUAGUAGGUGGUAGCUUUAAACAUUGAAGCUAAACUUUGUUUGGUUGUUAAUAUUUACCACUUGAUUACCCGUAUCCGUGUGAUGUAUGAUUCCUUGCUUGGAUGUUGAAUUUUAACGUUCGUGAUCUGUAAUGAAGAAUUUGUUGAAAAUUAUGUAUUAUAAUAUUAAUUUACAAGAUUUUUAAUUUUAA